rnacentral:rRNA from 1 species
AUUGAACGCUGGCGGCAUGCCUUACACAUGCAAGUCGAACGGCAGCACGGGUGCUUGCACCUGGUGGCGAGUGGCGAACGGGUGAGUAAUACAUCGGAACAUGUCCUGUAGUGGGGGAUAGCCCGGCGAAAGCCGGAUUAAUACCGCAUACGAUCUACGGAUGAAAGCGGGGGACCUUCGGGCCUCGCGCUAUAGGGUUGGCCGAUGGCUGAUUAGCUAGUUGGUGGGGUAAAGGCCUACCAAGGCGACGAUCAGUAGCUGGUCUGAGAGGACGACCAGCGACACUGGGACUGAGACACGGCCCAGACUCCUACGGGAGGCAGCAGUGGGGAAUUUUAGGCAAUGGGCGAAAGCCUGAUCCAGCAAUGCCGCGUGUGUGAAGAAGGCCUUCGGGUUGUAAAGCACUUUUGUCCGGAAAGAAAUCCUUGGCCCUAAUACGGUCGGGGGAUGACGGUACCGGAAGAAUAAGCACCGGCUAACUACGUG